AUUGAACGCUGGCGGCAUGCCUUACACAUGCAAGUCGAACGGCAGCACGGACUUCGGUCUGGUGGCGAGUGGCGAACGGGUGAGUAAUGUAUCGGAACGUACCUUUCAGUGGGGGAUAACGUAGCGAAAGUUACGCUAAUACCGCAUAUUCUGUGAGCAGGAAAGCAGGGGAUCGCAAGACCUUGCGCUGAUUGAGCGGCCGAUAUCAGAUUAGCUAGUUGGUGAGGUAAAGGCUCACCAAGGCGACGAUCUGUAGCGGGUCUGAGAGGAUGAUCCGCCACACGGGAACAGAGACACGGUCCAGACUCCUACGGGAGGCAGCAGUUGGGAAUUUUGGACAAUGGGGGCAACCCUGAUCCAGCCAUGCCGCGUGAGUGAAGAAGGCCUUCGGGUUGUAAAGCUCUUUCGGCCGGGAAGAAAUCGCAUAGGUUAAUACCCUGUGUGGAUGACGGUACCGGAAUAAGAAGCACCGGCUAACUACGUGCCAGCAGCCGCCGCCGUAA
rnacentral:rRNA from 1 species